rnacentral:rRNA from 1 species
AACGAACGCUGGCAGCAUGCCUAACACAUGCAAGUCGAACGAGACCUUCGGGUCUAGUGGCGCACGGGUGCGUAACGCGCGGGAACCUGCCCUUAGGUUCGGAAUAACUCCCCGAAAGGGGUGCUAAUACCGGAUAAUGUCUUCGGACCAAAGAUUUAUCGCCUUUGGAUGGGCCCGCGUUGGAUUAGCUAGUUGGUAGGGUAAAAGCCUACCAAGGCGACGAUCCAUAGCUGGUCUGAGAGGAUGAUCAGCCACACUGGGACUGAGACACGGCCCAGACUCCUACGGGAGGCAGCAGUGGGGAAUAUUGGACAAUGGGCGAAAGCCUGAUCCAGCAAUGCCGCGUGAGUGAUGAAGGCCUUAGGGUUGUAAAGCUCUUUUACCCGGGAUGAUAAUGACAGUACCGGGAGAAUAAGCUCCGGCUAACUCCGUG